rnacentral:lncRNA from 1 species
UUUAUUUUUAUUUUUAUUGAAUUAUCCCUAUUUAUAUGGGUCGUGGGUACAUGGGUUAGUCUUUCAUUUUCCACUAAGUCCACUCCUUAUUAUGCCAUGUGUCACAUUUUGUUUUAAACUGCCACAUAGACCUUUUAUUCCCCUUAAUCACACUUUCUCCAAGAAAAACGCACACCACUUCUUCACCUUCUCCACUUCAAUGUUUUUUUUUUUCAAGAAAAAUUAGGGCUUAUAAGUUUCGUGCUUCUUUUUUUCGAAAAUUCACACUCAAAAAUCAAAAGCACAAGAAGCAAUUUUUUAUCUACUGUAUCA